AGUGAACGCUGGCGGCAGGCCUAACACAUGCAAGUCGAACGGCAGCACAAGAGAGCUUGCUCUCUGGGUGGCGAGUGGCGGACGGGUGAGGAAUGCAUCGGAAUCUGCCCAUUUGUGGGGGAUAACCUCGGGAAACCGGGACUAAUACCGCAUACGACCUACGGGUGAAAGCAGGGGAUCUUCGGACCUUGCGCAGAUGGAUGAGCCGAUGCCGGAUUAGCUAGUUGGAGGGGUAAAGGCCCACCAAGGCGACGAUCCGUAGCUGGUCUGAGAGGAUGAUCAGCCACACUGGGACUGAGACACGGCCCAGACUCCUACGGGAGGCAGCAGUGGGGAAUAGUGGACAAUGGGCGCAAGCCUGAUCCAGCCAUGCCGCGUGUGAAGAAGGCCUUCGGGUUGUAAAGCACUUUUGUUGGGAAAGAAAAGCAGCCGGUUAAUACCCGGUUGUCAUGACGGUACCCAAAGAAUAAGCACCGGCUAACUUCGUG
rnacentral:rRNA from 1 species